AGGCGUAUGCAAGAGAAGUGUUCCAGGUCACAGUUCUCUGAGACCCAGACUGCUAACUACUGUGCAGCCCCACAUCCCAGAAAGCUCAGAAUAGGGGCAUAGCACGUCUUCAGCCCUGCUGGCACCCUGCUGCUAGCAGUGGCACCAUGGGCAGAUGCCAGCCUAGAGGGAAACCUCCAUGGAUUUGUUGGAUCCUAUGACUGACUUGUAUUUGACUACCAGCAGCAGCAAGGGACCAAUGGGACUACUUUGUGGAUACCUGAAAACCUCGAACCACGAAGGCAUGAGAAUUAUGGUGACACAGAAUGAGGCCAUCUGGUGCUGGUAUAGGAAGAUGGACAAAGAGAUCUGAGAUGAGGAAAAACACAGAUCAAAAAAGAAACCC